rnacentral:rRNA from 1 species
AUUGAACGCUGGCGGCAUGCCUUACACAUGCAAGUCGAACGGUAGUGGGCCUUCGGGUGCCGACGAGUGGCGAACGGGUGAGUAAUGCAUCGGAACGUACCUUUCAGUGGGGGAUAACGUAGCGAAAGUUACGCUAAUACCGCAUAUUCUGUGAGCAGGAAAGCAGGGGAUCGCAAGACCUUGCGCUGAUUGAGCGGCCGAUGUCAGAUUAGCUAGUUGGUGAGGUAAAGGCUCACCAAGGCGACGAUCUGUAGCGGGUCUGAGAGGAUGAUCCGCCACACUGGACCGGAGACACGGUCCAGACUCGUACGGGAGGCAGCAGUGGGGAAUUUUGGACAAUGGGGGCAACCCUGAUCCAGCCAUGCCGCGUGAGUGAAGAAGGCCUUCGGGUUGUAAAGCUCUUUCGGCCGGGAAGAAAUCGUAUGGGCUAAUACCCUGUGCGGAUGACGGUACCGGCAUAAGAAGCACCGGCUAACUACGUGCCAGCAGCCGCCGUAAAAC